GUUUCAUGCCUAUGGACACCCAUUUUCUUUUGGAUGAGGGAGCUAAAACUUGAGAAAAAAAUGUGUACUAAAGUCACUAUGCUGAAUGAUUUUAGGUCAAGAUGGAAUGGCGACAUAUGGUUAUUGUUCUCUAAUAAGGUUAUGUUUUUGUAUAGAUAUUUUCUGUCAUCUGUUCACAUGCAGAAUAUGUAUAUGAAACAUAGUUGUAUGUUUUUUAGUCUGAAUGACAGACAUGCACUAUUGAUUAUUGUGUGUUAUAACAAUAAAAUUAUGAUAAUUAUUUUAUCCUGCAACCUUUCGAUACAUCCUUUUGCAGUGCUACACAUGGUGUAGCUGUUAGCUUGAAGAAUGUUAGCUGUACACAAUACUGUAUCACAAACUGUAUUUCCUUUUCUGUAAGAUAUCAUUACCAUGUUUUUAACUUUUCUAUUAAGAUUAAUAACUAGAAUAGGUAGUAAGUGCUAUGGAUUGAUAAAUUUGAUACAUGUAUUAAGUUUUUUCAGAUAUUUCAUUUAGGUAUUGUACAUUGUAUUGUCAUUUCAGUUUGAUUUUUGUAACCCUACAUGUAUAUGUAUUUUUAUUUUAUAAAAAAAAAUGCUAUGGUAUAUACUGUUAUCAAGUUCCACAAUGACAAAUAUGUAUGAAUGGCAUUUUUUUUUCAAAAUGGGAUUAAAAAGAUUUUCUUAAAGGGAUAAACAUGGGUGAAAUUGAUGUGAUUUUCUUGGAAAUUGAUAGCACUUUUAAUGUUGUAUAUUACGGUAAACAUUCAUGUAAUUUUAGCUCUUGCAUUUCUUUCAUCUGCUGCCAUUUUUUUGUUUAAGAAAAAAAGUAAUUAAUUCAAGGUGCCACAAUAGUGACUUGAAUUACUGCAUCUAAAACUGUUUACAGUAAGCGCAUUUAUAGUUGUUAAAAAGCAUUAUUAAAUAAGAAAAGAAAAUCCUCACCUUUUUUAUAAAAUUAUCUUUGAAAAAAAACCUGUAUAAAAACAGAAUAAAAACAUUUUUGUGU
rnacentral:misc_RNA from 1 species